UACGUAGGGGGCUAGCGUUGUCCGGAUUUAUUGGGCGUAAAGAGCGUGUAGGCGGCCAGAUAGGUCUGCUGUGAAAACUCGAGGCUCAACCUCGAGACGUCGGCGGAAACCAUCUGGCUAGAGUCCGGAAGAGGAGAGUGGAAUUCCUGGUGUAAGCGGUGAAAUGCGCAGAUAUCAGGAAGAACACCCGUGGCGAAGCGGCUCUCUGGGACGGUACUGACGCUGAGACGCGAAAGCGUGGGGAGCGAACAGG
rnacentral:rRNA from 1 species